UACAGAGGCCUCGAGCGUUAGGCGGAAUCACUGGGCUUAAAGCGUGUGUAGGCGGAUCGGUAAGUACCUUGUGAAAUCCCACGGCUUAACUGUGGAACUGCUUGGUAUACUGCCGGUCUUGAGCCAGCUAGGGGCUACCGGAACAAAUGGUGGAGCGGUGAAAUGCGUAGAUAUCGCUUGGAACGCCAAAGGUGAAGACAGGUGACUGGGGGUGUGCCGACG
rnacentral:rRNA from 1 species